CGCGAUUGAUUCAAUUGACUCGAUUGAACGUCGAAAAAUAGGAUAACGGCGAGAAAGAGGAAAGUCAGAUAAAAAGCGAAAGACAGGGAAGAUUCCGAAUUUCCAUUGUCCGUUCUUCCAGACCAUGUUUCCUGUGACAAAAAGCGAACUAUAGGGGGUGGAUAGAAAAAAGGGAAAAUACAUAGAUCACAAGAAUGUUCCCUCAUUGUCAUUUGAGUUGCCAACUCAAUAUACCAAAGAUACAAAAAUAUACGAAAUACCCAAAGAAAAUACUUGUUAUAAUAUUUCUCACACAAAAAAGUAUAAGUCAAAUUUUUGUCAAGACAGAAUACGUUUAUAUAUUCUAUAUAAUUUUCUUUUGCUUGCGGUUCUAAUAACAUAAUUAAUAAUAUGGUUCUAAUAAUAUAUUCAAAAUCCAACAGUUGAUGUUACAUCGCACUUUACAUAUUUUAAGUGCACUUUUGCAAUUCUGACUUAUAUUGUUUCAUCUGCUGACCACAGAUUUAGUAGGUAAAAUAAGGAGCCCUAUUUAAGUUUCAUUUCUCUGGUUACAUUUCUAAAAGUACGAAAUUCCAUAAACAUCGAUUAAUAUUUAUUUAUAGUAUUAUUUUUCUUUUGUCAUAAUAAAGACUAUGCGUAAUUCGCGAUUACAUGUGCAUUCUAUAAUUAGCAUAUGAGCAUUGCCAUUCCGAAAUAUGCUGUUCCAAAAAUCACAAAUCAAUGAUAUGUAUGUAAAUCAUUGAAAAAUUUUGCUGCAUUAAUAAAUUUUCAAUAUCUUGUCCAUUAAUCGUAUGAAUAGAAAACUAAAUCAUUACAUUAUUAUUUAAAAUAAUUAUACAAUAAAUUGCAAAAAGAAAGAGCUUUAACUUUAAAUUGAUUUUCAACGAGAGAAAUUCGAAUGAAAAAAGUUAUACCAAACCGCGAGUUUCGAGUGAGGUUAUCUUGAUAAACUUUAUUCUAUGACUAUGGAUGACAGCAUUGAGUAGCGUGAAAUGGUGUUGAACGAUUAUGCGCGUGAUCACGACCGUUAGAAAAUUGCGCCAUUUUUUAGUUGUAAGUAAGAUCAUUUUCUAACAUUUUUUGAUAUCAUAGUGAAACAUUCAUGAUAUCCUGAGAGGUGAGACACGUGUGGUUUAGUGAUAGUGUGAAUUUUCCAAUUGCACGACUGCCUUUGGACAAAACUCGUCACUUCAUAGAAGUAGCUAACAAGAACUUCGCGCACGAGGCAACAUUUUCUACUGGGUUCUUUUGACAAAAACCGCUUUUUGACUGUAAACAAAAUGUCGGUGGAUGCCCUGAGCGAUGCGGAAUUGCGUAGCAAACUGAUGAAGUAUGGAUAUCCAGUGAGCCCGGUAACACAAACCACUAGAAAGAUUCUAGAAAGCUAAAAAAUCUCAUGGAAAUUCGAGGCGGUACAGAGUCACGACAUUCAUUGGCUGCCAGGUACAGCAGUGAGGAUACAGAUGAUGACAAGUACAACGACUAGUAAAAAGAAGAAGCUAACAAAUCCUAUAGGUAAUAGAACCGGGACGAUUAGAUUCGACGCUCGUACAUAUCGAGCGUUAGGAAGGAUACUUGUCAAGGGACAGACAGAGAAUGAGACAGAGAGAGAGAGAGAGAGAGAGAGGGAGGGAGAAUUUGCCAGCAGCGUUUAAGAUUCUGGCGGUAGUCGAAGCAGCAACGAACCGGAACGUCGCGCGUCUUUCUUUACGACUCGUUUCGCCCAUUUGUCGUACUUACUCGAAUUCACUGUGAGAAUGUUAUUCGCCGAGUUAUUGACAACGGUAUUCCAGGUUCGGGGGCAAACGCACGCUUUAGACGACGGACUUCGUGACGAACAGGAAAUCGAACCGUUUCAAGGAAAACGCAGCAAGACAAUAGCUGCGCUCGGUGGAGAUUCGACAGCGAAAAUCCAAAGGUGUCGUAUGCACAGGUAGAAGAAUCGGAAAUUCACGAGGAACGAAUAAUUCGGACAAAAGAGGUGACCGAGGAUGAUAAGAAAAGGGAGAAAAAGAAGAUGAAUCGCAGAGACGUUCUUCUCGUUAUCCUCCGAUACCAAGGACAAAACUUAAGAUCGGGGCCACUGAAUCUGCUUAGCUACCAAGGGAAACGCAACGACGACGGCCCCGCCUUCGCUCCUUUCGUUCCUCUCGCCUGCCGCUUUGCGUCUCGCCCUCUUCCUUCCCGGUGUCAUGCAAAUUCCGCUUCAUGCUCCUGAUGAACAUCCAUUGCAUCCGGCGAAAACGCUGCAAACCACGGUUUUGCCUGUCCGUUCAUUCGCGAUUUUCUUUCGCCGCCAAUCAAUUGUACUUAUAGGCAGAUGUAUUUAAAUAUUUCGAGCGUCGCGCCACGUUAUCGAGAUGUAUGGAUAGAAUAUAUCGCAUAUGUUUGUCAUUGUGAGAAGGACAUUCCGAGACGAGAAGGGGUUGAUGAUCGAUUUCGGGCGUCGUUGUUCGCGUUUGCACCAACAACGACACCUUCGACAACCCGAUGACAACUUGGUUCGCGAAUACGGAAAAUUAUUCGUUUCGAAAACAUCAGCGAAACCGGUGACAAAAUGUCACCGCGGGACAAGCUGGGGACAGUCGACCUACUUUUUCAAACUAUCGCAAUGGCCACCUGAUUCCUAUUACUAUAAAAUCAUACGACCAAUUUCUCGUGCAAUUCGGAUACGGCCAACUAUCGAACGACGCUUCCCAGACUACCGACUAGGGACCACAUCCUUUUAUCGUACUAUCCAAGCUCUUUGCGUUUUAUCGUUGCGCACGUUUCCCAAGUAGCCGACCUUAAUUCCACGUAUACUACGAGAAAACCGGAUAGAAAUAUUCGAAUGGAUAAUUCGUGGUUACGAGCGACGCGACGUUACACUUUAAAAAGCGAUUUUUUUCUGGUCGAUUGGAAGAAAGGGAGGAAUCGCGUCGCAAAGCGUAGAAACGCGAUGCGACGCGAAGUAACAGGGCAGCAACGUCACUGAACAAGGCAGAGGAGAUUCUAAGCGCGUUCGUUCUCACUUUCUGGCGACAAAGUUGCGCAGAAAGCGGCUCCUUUAUUAUCGAGAAUGCUUUGGUAAUGCGAACUGCUUUCGAUAUCUGGCGCUUUGCGUGCCUUUCGAACCAUCUUCUCGCCACAGCUAUGCGCCACCCAGAUCAUUUGAUCCUUCCGCUCGCUUUGCUUUCCGCGAUAGGCAGACGAGUACAUCUGUCAAGAUACUCGAAAAUCGCCUCUAUUUAUAAUACGUAAAUACGGGUAAGAAAUCUAGCGCGGUAAAAUACGUCGCUGAAACGGACGCUACGAAGUAAACAACUUUUCGAACAGCUUCGAUAAACAACGUGUUAUGUAGGAUCGUUUCUUGCUUGGCAUCUAUCGCCUCGAGAGACGACAACCGCCUUUGCAAAUUCGAGUUUCAUUCUAUAGAGAAAAUAACCAACACCAACUGUAGCGAUGGAUACGAGGCUCGGCCGGUUUCUUAGAACGACGACAAAAUAACGCAGGGGUCUCGAACAACCUUCAUGAAUAUUUAUCCGUAAUGUUCUAAUAAACCGACAGACGCUAUACCAAAUUCGAUUAAAUAGCAACGAUAAGAAUAAUUGACUGGUAAUUGGAACGAAUGUUUGCCAAUUCACAUAUUUCCGUCUUUUUCUGCAAAUUUCGUAUGUCUGUUAUCGUGUCAUAAAAAAAAAAAAGAAAAGAAAAUAUAUAAAGACAGCCGCCGCAGAAUUUUCGAGACUCAAAUUCAGGAGUAAAGGUCGAUAUUAUCCGCGACGUGUUACUCAGUCUUGGCUUGGACGGUUGUACGUAAGCACGAGCUACGUAGGAGAGUGAGUAGAUCGUUAAAUCUACCGCGUGUCCUGGCAUCAAGUUGCUCGUGUUCGAGACGCAGACGUUUCGAGACGGUGGCAAACUCGAUUAAACGCGCGCUCGCUGCUUCCGAUUUUUCCAAAUAUUCGGAUUGUUGACGUUCUUCGCGCAAGAUUUUCAUCGACCACGAGUAAUUACAUAGAUAUCCAAUUGCAUACGUAGUGUCCUCGCAAUUUCUUUGGUUCAACGCUCGGUCCUAAUGAUAAUGUGCCACCUGCUAAAGUUAGCCGGAAUAGCUUAUCGUCCGAACAUGUUUCGCAGUUCCAUCUAACAGUAAGUUGGGCCAAGCUAAAAGAAGCUGUCAGACAAUCGUAAUUCACUGGUUCGCAAGCCCAAUUGAACCGUCAUGUGCAAGCGACUACCUUGGGUCAAGGAACCGACUGUCCCGAAUCCUUGCCAGAUGCUGCCAGAAGACGAUGUCCAUUUUAACUGCGACUCGAAUGCGCUCGAACUUUGACCAAGUUUCGACUAUUCCUUUAACAUUAGAACUACCGAUAGUUAAUAGAAAGCAAUUUCUAUUAAAACAAUCAAAAUGGCUGGUCUUUAAAGAAUACGUAAUAAUAGAAUAUUUGUAUAUUUAUUGAGUCAUUACUUUCUUACAGAAGGAAUUCCAUGUUAUGUAGUAUAUUUUUGGUAUUAUUAAUCCAUCUGGGACCAUGAUCCCUAAACGAGGGUUGACACAUUUAUAAAAUUGUAGAACCAGUCAUUUUGACUGGUGUGGUAUUUCUAGUAUUAGCAUCUAGCGAUUAAUCCGAAAUUUUCCUGAUAGCUGAUAUUAUCAUAUUGAAUGAUACGCAAUAAAAAUUAUAAAAACAUGUGAGAGAUUAUCCGAAACGAGGAAACUGGUUAAUUGGGUUUCGAUAAACAGAUUGCAGGACCCUUUUACACUUUAACAAAUACCAGUCAUUUUUGGUAUUGGUAUAAGUAGCCUUGAUACAAAAUUAUGUUCAGUUUGAGUACAUGAAGAACAAAAUAAAAUUCAUUAUAUUACAUAAUAUGAAGUAGGAAUUUUAAAAUAAAAUCGUAAAACCAGUCAAUUUGACUAGUGUGGUAGUUGUAGUCCUAACUAUUAUCCUACUUUCGCUGUAGAUGGCGAAAUGAUUGAACAGUUGUGUCCACCGAGCGAUGCCAUAAUACCUGGUCGACCUUUUAAAUUAAGAGCAAGUUGUCGAUAGUUUCGUAAUGGUGGCUAAUGGUGUCGGCGACAGGUGUGAUGACGAAGCAGUGACAUGUUUGAGGAGGCUAGCGUUCGAAACAAAGUGACGAUGGAAUAAUCUUCGUCUGAUUUAUCGUGUUGGUAGGACGUGCAGCGAUAAAAACGUUGACUGGGAAUUCGAUCCGCCAGUGGUUCGCAAUUCUCAAUACGACCGCUUUCUAUAUAUCGCGCGAAGAGCCGCAAUCGAAAUCGAAAUCGAAGAUCACGCCGUCCCGUAUAACCGAGAUUAUCUACGAGUUAGUCUAAUUUGCAUAAAACCGAAGCCCGUUUCCCAUUUCGAUUCUCUUUCGAUGAAAUCGCGCAGGCUGCAUACAGCCAACGUACAACUUUUUCUCUGUCGCAGACGCUAACUCGAUCUAUCGCUCUGAUAUACAGGUGUUCGGGUAGAAUGGCCAAGGAAGCAAUUUAGCUGUCCUUUUGAAAGCCGGAUCGUGGAAAACGAACUUCCAACACGAUUAACGAUAAUUUGUGAUCGACAGUGCAGUUGCCGAGAUUUUGCGACAACGUAACGGCGCAUGAUGUAGAUCACAUAAUCAUAAGAUACGUAAGUGAAGAAUUAUGCGAAUAUCUCGAUUGUUUCGACGUAUCGCUUUUAGGCGCUGUCAUCCGCACUUUGCAUCGAAACACACAUCGCCUAUGAUCGUAAGCAGUUCGUACGUUAAAGGGUUUUUAACUCGUCGAUUUAAUUAAAUUGAAAAAGAAUUUAACCCUUUGUACUCGAGAGACGAUUCUCAGUCGCUACGUCGUAACCGUGUGGUAAAUCAAGAGGAGAAUGGGAGGCAACAGUCCCUGUUUAUGAGAGCGCAGUAUUAGUUCAUCAAAUAGAUUCCUUAGCUCUUUAUAUUGUUUGUUAUGAAGUGUGAAGCGUUACAGUUUAAGAUGCAGGUGAAAUAUUUAUGCUCAAAUUCUUCCGAAACUAUGGUUCUGGCAACGUUAGUUCACACUCGACGACCGUGGUACAAGUAUUAUAAUUUCGUAAAUUUAGAAGUUCCAAAAAAUGGAUUUGGAAAUUUGUUUAAUUAAUUCAUAUAUCCUGUAAAAAAGCAAAAGAACGAAAGGCCACUUAACCACCUGUGAUUUAUAAAAACUUUUUUUUCAAAAGUAGACCAGUUGGAGAUAUUCGACAACCGCAAGAUCGAGCUUCGACGUCCACUGCUAAUUGCGAUGAAAUUCGGUUAAAUGAAAAGCUGCGUGUAAUUUUAAUAGGAAGAAAAAAGGAUUAAGGCGUGUUCUUACCGAAACAAAGCAGGAGAAAGACAGGAAGCAACUUAUUAUUGCGAUACUUGUGCCGACAAGCCAAGAAUGCAUCUUGCCAGAUGUUUUACAAAUUAUCGUAAAAAAAAGUACAAAAUAAUAUUAAAAAAUGAUAUGUUCAAAGAUGUAAAUAUUGUAGUAUGGUGGACAAAUGGCCGAAGAAAUAUCGGGUGAAUUAUAAACAAUAUUGCGGGAAGGCCAAAGUGCCGUUAGGCUAAAAAGGCCUGGCAGUUUUACCGGGAAGUCGAGUGGUAAGAAGUUGAGUUGUGAGGAGUCGAGAGUUGAGUUGCCGAGUUGUUAUGAGUUGUAAACUAUUAGUUGUGAGUUAUGAAUUAACUAUUUAGUUAUAGCACAUUACUGUAUUUAGUUGACGUUAAGUAACCAUCGUUUCCUGUCUAAUCCAUUGUAAAUAGAUCUAUCGAUCAAUAAACUUAUUAUAUAGGAUAAAUAAAAAAAAAAGAAUCCUAUAAUAUAUAUAUAACUUUUUUUAAGUUAAUUUUUGUAUAAAAUCAUUUUACAUUACCUACAAGACACUCGUCACAUACGCGCAAAAUCACCUCGAGUUGCUGCUAGUCGAGUGCAAAAGGUUAACAGAAAUUGAAAUUAAAUGUAAAAGGAAGUAACCUAAAAUACGGUUACAGAUAGCGAAACAGAAACAGAGAAGUGGCGCGAGAUGGUCGCGAGGCGAACGUUGCAGAUAGAAAUUCAGUCGAGCGAUGGAUAAAGAUUGGUGGAAGGUAGGACGCGUAUCUUUGUACACGCGAAUAUGCCAUCUAGAUAUGUAUUCGAGUCUGUUUUACAUAUGUAUACACGGCGUUGGGCCGUAGCUUUCGUCGUUUCCGAGCACGUCUCAAAUUGCAUUUCCUUACGCACAAAUUCUUGCGCCCCAAUACCCUAGGAUUCGCAAUAUUUCCACGCUCAAAGGCACGUCCUUUUAGUCCGACCUCAUCCUAAUCCUCGAUCUCACCCACCGCGUGUUCCACAUCGUGCAUAUCGAUAGACUUGCGAGAGUUGGUGCGAUGCGCGCCAUCCGCCACCGCCGCACCUUCCUUUCCCUCUUUCCUUCUCACCUGCCACCCAUUCCACAAUCUCUUGCUCGCUCCAUCCUCUGCCUUUCUGCCCUUUAACCGAUUCCUACCGUUUAAUCGCACGUCUGGUCGCGCGUCGCGCUGCAUCGCAAUAUGCAGUCGAUAUACUUUCCAACUUUUCUCUGCUCUUUCAAACGAAUCGAAAGAGAAGCUUUUUUCAAUAUCCACCGACUUAACGAGAAUAAGAAGAGAAGAGAAGAAAAAAACGUUUGCGAGCAGUUUCGCGUUGAUUACUCGCGCCCGACGAAGGUAGACGUGGAACGUGAGGUCGUUCUUUUCGCGGACAAAUCAGUCAACGAUUUAGUCGCCUUAACGGAAAGACGGAUCGAAGCAAACUUGUCGAUGAAUGCCGAUGGAUCGAUCAAGCCGCCACGAAGCUUCGAAAAGACACGGUGGACAGGACGAGGAAAGGAAAGAUACUCGCGAAAGGGGACGGAGACGAGGAAAAAAGUAGAAUAUGAAAAAUGAAUGCGCACAAGGAAAAAAUGAUAAAUGAGAAACCGGGAGGCUGAGAAGGCGAUUACGAACAGCAAGGGCGUAAUCGUUUAGCGACGAGAAAAGGGGGAGAAAACCGAAGGUAACCGCUCGUUAACCGCAUCUGGUUAUCGAAACUUGGAAGCUAGGGAAGCAGAAAUCAAGUAAGAAAAUAGACAUUGGUGAUGAAGAAUAGAACGAGAGAGCAGCUUUUUUCGAAAUGGAACGGUAGCGAAAGCUAUAAAUCGAGGACGCUGGACGCGCGGCUCUUCUUUUCUACUUUGCUACUUUUCGCAGUUGGGUUAAAGCGAUGCGCGCAGUUUCAACGUCUCGAGGAAACCGAGUAAACCUCGAAGGAAUCUCGAUAGAAUUUUUCGCAUCCGGAAGCAGCGCAGCAGACAUUCCUCCCACCGGGUGUCGAUGUCGCGCAUCUGAUUGGAGGUCCUCUCUUGCUGAUUUACUCGAUUUCCGGCUGAUUUGCACGUGUUCUCGAGGAACAAGCAAGAUAAUUUCUCGCGGUGCCUAAAGUUCUAGUGGCAGCUAAACACGCUUCUCGUCGCGGUAUUAGAUUCAAGUUCGAUCGGGUGAUUAAACUUGCAAAAGCUACGUUCACUGUACAAAUUUUCCGAGUAGCGUAAAUUGGAGGAAUUGCAGGUGGACGCGCUUUCAUACAGCCACGGUAAUUGAUCCGUCGCGAACGCUCGUUUGCUCGACUUUCCGUAAACAUGACGCAAAUUAAUGAUCCGUCAACGUCCAAAAGCAAAACGUAAACUUGCCAGGGUUACCCUUCUGAUACUACGCGCAUAUCUCCUUACUAUGUAUUCGAAGAUAUUCCGUUCGAUCGCGUACCAAAUCGUUGGUAAUAUCGCAGCGGUACAUGAGUUAACAGAAGGUUUGAAUCUGGAGAGACUGAUAUUGUUGUAGCUUGGAAUAUCAACGUUGUUUCGGUUUACUAGGUCUAAAGGUAAACGAACUGCGGACAAAAUAUUCUUGCCGUUAUUUAUAAUCGUCAACCGAAGUUGCAUUCGAACUUUUUAUAAUAACACCUGUCGAUAUUGUUGAAGUUUUAGGUUAGCGGAUUUUGUCAAUACCACCUAAUGACAAAAUCCCCAAUUAUUUAGUUGCCAACCUAAUAAUUACUUCAAGAAAAACUCUACACCUUUUAUUUUAUAUAUCCGUCACAUGAAGACCACUGUUACGAAGAGAAUAGAAUUUAGUGAAACAAAAAGUUGGAAAUAAGGAGAGGUCCAUAUUAUUGUGCUGUUGAAUAUAAAUUUUGUUUUGGACUACAAGGUCUAGAAACAAAAGAACUAUAAGUAGAUUUCUAUCACUGUUUCUUACAACCUUCAGCUAGAACUACAAGAUUAACUUUUUGGCAAUGUUCUUUGCUAUAAAUAUAUGAACGUGGUGCCAAUCAACCUCUUCUUGGUGCCUCUUCCUCUAUUGUAUUGUAACACUGUAAGAGCGAGGAUCUGGAUCAUCAUACACUAUACUUAUACUUCUUUCAAUAUAUUUUUCUAUUAUUAGGUUGUCCGAAAAGUUUCUUUCCUUUUGUAAGGAGAUAAUACACGUACGAUGUCUUUUGUUUUAUAUUAGUUUACUGAAUUAUGCACGAACAUAAUAAUAAAAAUAUAACGAAAUAAAAUAAUAUAAAACAGAAAUUGUUGUUCAUCUAUUAUCACCUUAUGAAACGAAAGAAACUUUUUCGGACAAAUUAAUACAAAUUCAUCCUUUCGUUCCUUUAUCAGUUAACCUCAACAAAUAUAAAUAGACGAACGCGCUGCCUAGGACAGUGGAAUAGUCGAGUAGUUAAAGAGUAGAUGAGUUGAAUUGUUAUAGGAGUUUCAAGCGGCAUACACUGCCUCUGUACUUGUACUUAUAGUGAUUUUGAUAUAAUUGACUAUUACAAUUUAUCACUCGUCUCUUUGUUAAAUACACCAAAAUGUUUAACACUUAACGCUCCAAGUGUGCCUCUCGAGCACCAUCGAUGUGCGGUGCUCUACUCCAAAUGUAUUUUUGGGUCGUUAUCGAUAAUUGUUUACAAAUGAAAAAUAAUACUCCUCAGUGAAUAAAAAUAAUCUUUACAAGCGAUCAGUAAAGACAGUCAGAUCUGAACCUGUUUUAUCGUAAACCCAUCUAUUUGAAUUAUGUCGAGAAGAAAAAUGAAUUAUCUGUGUGAGGAAAACGUAGAUAGUGACGAUGACAAUUUUGAUUUUCGUAUCUAUAACGAUGUAGCUGUUUACUUGGAUAGCAGUUAUAGUGAGAGCAGUGAUAGUGAUAUUCUUGUUGCUGGAAGAAGAAGAAAAAUAAGAAAACUUUCAUCGAGCGAGAAAAGUGCAGAUGAUGGAGAACCACAGGAAGAAAAUCUAACCAAGAGUAUUUGUAACGUAAGAUCUUCUGAUUGGCAGGAAUUUUUUAACGAAGAUAUCAUUCCACAACGAUAUAAAUUUUCGACUGGUAGAAAAACUCCUGGUCCGCGGGUACACAACUUAUGCGAACCUACUCAGUACUUUCAAUUAUUUUUUAUUAAUGCCGAAAGGGAAAAAGAAAAAGUGUCUUGUUUGUUUACCAAAAGCAAGUAACGCGGUAAAAAAACAAACAGUUUUCUACUGUGAGACCUAUAAACGCAAACCCGGUUUGCAUCCCGAUGAAUUUUUUAAAAAAUUCCACAAAUUACUCAAUUAUAAUUAAUAUAAAUAUUGUAAUGAAAAUUAUAUUACUUCUCAGAUGUGUAAAGAUUGUUUUCAAUAACUUUAAUGUCAUUAUUUACGUCAUUGUAGCAUUUCAAAUCUGACGCUUAAAAACUUGCAAGUCCAAGUAUGAUGAGAAUAAGUUGAAGUUGCCGAUCGAUAUUCACAAUUAAAAAUCGGACCGUUAACCCUCUGCACUCCGAAUUUUAUUUCAAUUUCGUUGCCAGCAGUUCCCAACGCUUUUAAGUGUUUUAUUUGAAAUUUACUUUAACUAAAAAAUAAGACAAUCUAAAUAAAUAAAGGAAGAAAGAAAUUCACUUAAAUACCAGUUUUAUUCACACUAUUGUUGUAUUUUGUAAUUUUUAAAUGUAUGAUAUAUCUUGAAACAAUUUCCAGGAUGCAAUCCUGCUUUUCUUUCGCACGUUUUACAAAAAAAGGUGCACAUGAAAGAAUGUCGAGUGGGAAUCGACAAAGGAGCUCCUGAGGUAAAAACUGAUGUCGAGUCACACUCGACAUGGGAGUGCAAAGGGUUAAGUAUUAAUAAACCACCUCAAUGUAUUUCGCAAAUAUACGCGCAACUAUAUAUCUAGAGAUUAAGAAAGAGGCUUGCCGGGAAUGGAUGGUAAGUAUCCCGCGGAGCUUGGUGAAUUCGAGCGUGGCCGAAAGGACAGAGUGCCGGAGAAACGAGGAAAAUAUCGAAAUUGAAUUGUCCUGUAAUUUCCUCCUAAUGUAUCGACCUCGCCUGAUCGGAAACGAGCGUCUACUCGAAGGAUACACGUCGCAAACCACCGAAACCUUCGAUACGAAAUUCUUUCUGUAGACGAACUUACACGACGACCAACGACUUGUUCCACUUCUAUCGUCGAUUCGAGAUACGGUCGUGAAUAAAUUUUAGCAAGAAACUUAACGACCGAGGCUGGAUCCAGUCGAUAAGCUACUAACGCAAACAUGAUUUUAGCUUUACGAAGCGAACGAUAGCCCUAAGACGGCCGGCGAAUAUAACGAGAAACGAUAAACAGAUCUUGCGAAGCGUCGCCGAACGAAAUAGGACAUUUCUUGAAAAAUGACGACCUGUGUGGCCGAUGAGUCACAGUGGCAUCAGGUCGCACAGUCAUAGGUCACAGCACAAAGUCUCCGAUAAAACAAACGAUUAUGAUUCCCCUUUGCGGGAUUCCUCCGAGAGAACGUCGCGACAGUCGGUCUCUUAUCUACAGCUG